rnacentral:lncRNA from 1 species
GGAAAAAUGAGAUGGAAAUGUUUUCUAUUUUCAUGCUUGGUCAUUAAAUUUUACAUUUUAGAGGCUCAGGGAUGAUUUCUAUUCCUCAAUGAGCAAAAUGAAGAAUCAAAAUCCUCCUAUCAGGAAGGAGAAAGAAGGAUAACUCCAGAAAGAGACAAAUCCUCAUGAUCUUUUCAAUCUAUAUUGAGUCAGACAUUCAUGGGAGGCUUCCCCUUCCUACUUAAGGAAGAGAUAAUGAAUCUCCAAGUUUGGAAUUCCACUUGGUCAUCCAAAGACUUGAGCACAAUGCAAGAGCAAACAAUGGUAGCAUGAAGAUGCUCCUCCACCAGCCAUGCCCCUAUUUGUGGACAUUCUCCAUUGCACCUCAGCCUAAGUGAUGGCCACAGAUGGGCUGUGACCAGCCCGG